rnacentral:miRNA from 1 species
UGGUCUUGCCACCGUGUCGUCC